AGUGUGGGAUCCAGCAGGGAGAGCAGGGAUCAGUGUGGGAUCCAGCAGGGAUCAGUGUGGGAUCCAGCUGGGAGAGCAGGAAUCAGUGUGGGAUCCAGCAGGGAUCAGUUGUGGGAUCCAGCAGGGAGAGCAGGGGAUCAGUGUGGGAUCCAGCAGGGAUCACAGGGACAAGGCAGGAUCCAUCUGUGAGGACCUGGAUCCAUCCCAGUGCCCUCUGUCUGUCCCUGGCAGAGGAGGAUGAGGAAGAUGAGGAAGCUGCUGUGGGGGAGCAUCUCCAGGAGUGCCCAGCUCCGUGUCACUGUCACCCUCCUGCAGCUCCCAGUGCCAUUCCUGCCUCUGCUCCCCUCCAGCCCCUCUCCCUCCCUCUUCCCUCUGUCCCUGCAGCCAAUAUCCCUGAAAUAAAGGUAAA